rnacentral:rRNA from 1 species
UACGUAGGUGGCAAGCGUUUGUCCGGAUUUAUUGGGCGUAAAGCGCGCGCAGGCGGUCUUUUAAGUCUGAUGUGAAAUCUCGCGGCUCAACCGCGAGCGGUCAUUGGAAACUGGGAGACUUGAGUACAGAAGAGGAGAGUGGAAUUCCACGUGUAGCGGUGAAAUGCGUAGAUAUGUGGAGGAACACCAGUGGCGAAGGCGACUCUCUGGUCUGUAACUGACGCUGAGGCGCGAAAGCGUGGGGAGCAAACAGG